rnacentral:rRNA from 1 species
GACGAACGCUGGCGGCGUGCUUAACACAUGCAAGUCGAACGGAAAGGCCCUGCUUUUGUGGGGUGCUCGAGUGGCGAACGGGUGAGUAACACGUGAGUAACCUGCCCUUGACUUUGGGAUAACUUCAGGAAACUGGGGCUAAUACCGGAUAGGAGCUCCUGCUGCAUGGUGGGGGUUGGAAAGUUUCGGCGGUUGGGGAUGGACUCGCGGCUUAUCAGCUUGUUGGUGGGGUAGUGGCUUACCAGGGCUUUGACGGGUAGCCGGCCUGAGAGGGUGACCGGCAACAUUGGGACUGAGAUACGGCCCAGACUCCUACGGGAGGCAGCAGUGGGGAAUAUUGCACAAUGGGCGGAAGCCUGAUGCAGCAACGCCGCGUGCGGGAUGACGGCCUUCGGGUUGUAAACCGCUUUCGCCUGUGACGAAGCGUGAGUGACGGUAAUGGAUAAAGAAGCACCGGCUAACUACGUG